rnacentral:sRNA from 2 species
AUCAUGGGGUGCCCCUUUUAUUCUUCUCCCUCCAACCACCCCCAUACCCAUAUGCUAUCUAUGUCUUGCUCAAUUGACGCAGCAACAAUUUAGCUUGCGAAUAAACUCGUACUCCCCUCCAUUAAUGCAGAUACGUGAUUUCGCCAAGUUUCGUGCAAGUCGAAUCCAUUCAGGGAAUCGUGGACAUUAGUGGCAAGUGCGGGGACUUUGCAUGGGGGGUUCUCAUUGAAGUGUAACUACAGCGUAAUUACUGUUUAUUUAUUAAGGGGUUCAGAGCAGCAAACUGCUGACAGUACUUAUCAAUACCGCCAUCCUUGGGUAUUAUUCUUCCUCUUGUACUGUGCAAUACUCUGUAAUAAGCUCCUCAAAGUGACAACUACUUUUCCCGCCCCGCUUUUUCAAUGUCAACGGGCUUCCGAACUUUGUACUUUGACAACUUCUCAGAGGGGUGUUGACUGAAGCCCAUCAUUUUUCAUUUCCAGCUCAUCUCAGGGGAAAGAGGAAACAAGCAAUUAGGGAUUCAAAAAUAAAUACAAUAUAAGAGGCCAGAAAAAGAAGUAAAAACUCAAAACAAAAGAAAAUUCCAGGUGAUCUAAUGUGGUGAUGCCAUCUCUAUUCGCGUUUCGGAACUCCAAAUUUUCAAGCUUCGACACGGCGAUAUGCUUCAGUCUGAUCAGGCAACGGGAUCCCGUCAUCUUCCCAGAACGCAGUCUUCUUGUCUUUUCCCUUUGCCAUUCCGCCAAUAUCAAAGGGGUCAAAAACAGUCAGGAAAAAGUUCCUAUCAUCGACCCAGCCUGGGCCGAUGCGCUCUGUUUUUCCAUCCCGGGCUAGAUAAACCACGUUGGACCGGGGGAGACAGCUGGCAGGCGGGAAUACGUUCAUCAGAACAGCGUUGAUGAAGAUGGGUACUGCAUCGAAGCACCAGAAAUAUGCCUCGGUGCGUCCCACAGCAGACCCCCAUCCUUCGAAGGUCUCCACAGCGCGAUAUACAUUCCGAACCGUCAGUAACGCGCACGACAAAUAGAGGGUUAUCAGAACUUUCCGGAGUUUCGGUUCGUGGAUGCCAGCUUUGUGCAAGCGGCGGUGGAAAUAGGCGACGAGGACCCCGAACAGGGCGAAGAUCGGGAUUUGGGCGAGGAUCGAAGUCUUGAUUAGGAUGUCACCCACUUUCAGUGUCGCUGGCUUGUGGUUGAGGUUUGAGGCUAUGGAUGCGCCAGAGCCGGCAAGGCCUUCGAUGAUAGCAUCGCAUCCAAGGAAAGUGGAUAUCACGCGACCUGGAUGGAUCGGCGAUAGCCAGGGAACAUAGUACAGUACACGGCCGAAAACGAUGGAGUUUAUUGCGAGGAAUAUAGGGCUGCAAAAAAAAAAAGAGUCAGAAAGCGCUCGAAGUCGAAUCAAAAACUACUAAUACCCCCGAAUGGCAUUGCAGGGGACCAGGUGCUGACUCACGGGGCGCAAAACAAAAAGCAUGAUGUUGCGAUGAAAAGGUCAAGUUUCCCGUAGAGGCCAUGAGCUGCUAUCUCACGGAGGAUAUAGCCGACGACGAAGACCAGCGAGACCCAUGGGAGCAACAGACCCAUCCUCCACGUUUUGUAUCGCCUGUUCGAAGAGCGUCAGAAAGUCGGUUCUAAGAACAGACGUCAAGGCCGAAAAGAGGUUUUAUUUUUUUUCUCAUACAUAUUGUUCUGCCAUAGAUGCAGAAGACCAGAAACAAGCCAGAGAACAGCAAAGACUGCGGAUAGCCCCUUUACGGGUUUAUACUGGAAGAAGCUGAAACCCUCUGUGAAAGCGAAGUUAGAAUUUGGCUUGAGGACCAUGGUAUUCUUCCC